UUGCAUGUUUAUUUUUUUGUUAUUAUGUUAUUGUUUUUUGUUUUAAUUGUUCGUUUCCUAGUUUUAAAUUACUUAGUUUAAUUAUUAGACCUUAUUUUUUAUAUAUAAUAAUUGAACCACACGGGCUAAAUACACGGUCAUGUGGCCCACACGACCAAGUGACAUGACCUUGUGGAUAUUGAAAAUCGAUGCUUGGGAAACCAC
rnacentral:lncRNA from 1 species